rnacentral:rRNA from 1 species
UACGAACGGUCCAAGCGUUAUUCGGAAUCACUGGGCUUAAAGCGCCCGUAGGCGGUUCGGCACGUAGGGUGUGAAAUCCCACGGCUCAACCGUGGAAUUGCGCUCUAAACUAUCGAGCUAGAGGGAGAUAGAGGUGAGCGGAACUGAUGGUGGAGCGGUGAAAUGCGUUGAUAUCAUCAGGAACACCGGAGGCGAAGGCGGCUCACUGGGUCUUUUCUGACGCUGAGGGACGAAAGCUAGGGGAGCGAACGGG